CCUACGGGGGGCUACAGUGGGGAAUAUUGGACAAUGGGGGCAACCCUGAUCCAGCCAUGCCGCGUGUGUGAAGAAGGCCCUCGGGUUGUAAAGCACUUUCAGUGAGGAAGAACGCCUGGUGGUUAAUACCCAUCAGGAAAGACAUCACUCACAGAAGAAGCACCGGCUAACUCCGUGCCAGCAGCCGCGGUAAUACGGAGGGUGCGAGCGUUAAUCGGAAUUACUGGGCGUAAAGCGCGCGUAGGUGGCUUGAUAAGCCGGUUGUGAAAGCCCCGGGCUCAACCUGGGAACGGCAUCCGGAACUGUCAAGCUAGAGUGCAGGAGAGGAAGGUAGAAUUCCCGGUGUAGCGGUGAAAUGCGUAGAGAUCGGGAGGAAUACCAGUGGCGAAGGCGGCCUUCUGGACUGACACUGACACUGAGGUGCGAAAGCGUGGGUAGCAAACAGGAUUAGAUACCCCGGUAGUC
rnacentral:rRNA from 1 species